AUGGGUGAGUAACACGUGCUUAAUCUACCUUUUAGAUUGGAAUACCUAAUGGAAACAUUGGUUAAUGCCGGAUACGCAUGAAAUCGCAUGAUUUCGUUGUGAAAGGAGCGUUUGCUCCACUAAAAGAUGAGGGUGCGGAACAUUAGCUAGUUGGUGAGGUAAUGGCCCACCAAGGCUAUGAUGUUUAGCCGGGUCGAGAGACUGAACGGCCACAUUGGGACUGAGAUACGGCCCAAACUCCUACGGGAGGCAGCAGUAGGGAAUAUUCCACAAUGAGCGAAAGCUUGAUGGAGCGACACAGCGUGCACGAUGAAGGCCCUCGGGUUGUAAAGUGCUGUUGCAAGGGAAGAACACUUAGUUGAGGAAAUGCAACUAAACUGACGGUACCUUGUUAGAAAGCGAUGGCUAACUAUGUGCCAGCAGCCGCGGUAAUACAUAGGUCGCAAGCGUUAUCCGGAAUUAUUGGGCGUAAAGCGUUCGUAGGCUGUUUAUUAAGUCUGGAGUCAAAUCCCAGGGCUCAACCCUGGCUCGCUUUGGAUACUGGUAAACUAGAGUUGGAUAGAGGUAAGCGGAAUUCCAUGUGAAGCGGUGAAAUGCGUAGAUAUAUGGAAGAACACCAAAGGCGAAGGCAGCUUACUGGGUCUAUACUGACGCUGAGGGACGAAAGCGUGGGGAGCAAACAGGAUUAGAU
rnacentral:rRNA from 1 species